rnacentral:rRNA from 1 species
GACGAACGCUGGCGGCGUGCUUAACACAUGCAAGUCGAACGGUAAGGCCCUUCGGGGUACACGAGUGGCGAACGGGUGAGUAACACGCGGGUGAUCUGCCCUGCACUUCGGGAUAAGCCUGGGAAACUGGGUCUAAUACCGGAUAGGACCCUGGGAUGCAUGUCCUGGGGGGGACAGCUUUUGAGGUGUGGGAUGGGCCCGCGGCCUAUCAGCUUGUUGGUGGGGUGAUGGACUACCAAGGCGACGACGGGGAGCCGGCCUGAGAGGGUGACCGGCCACACUGGGACUGAGAUACGGCCCAGACGCCUACGGGAGGCAGCAGUGGGGAAUAUUGCACAAUGGGCGCAAGCCUGAUGCAGCGACGCCGCGUGAGGGAUGACGGCCUUCGGGUUGUAAACCUCUUUCAGCACCGACGAAGCGCAAGUGACGGUAGGUGCAGAAGAAGGACCGGCCAACUACGUGCCAGCCGCCGCAGUAA